AUUGAACGCUAGCGGGAUGCUUUACACAUGCAAGUCGAACGAGUGGCGGACGGGUGAGUAAUAUAUCGGACCGUGCCCAGUAGCGGGGGAUAACUACUCGAACGAGUGGCUAAUACCGCAUACUCUUGGCGCGCCCGAUAUCGGAUUAGCUAGUGGGGGGGGUCAAUGCGCACCAAGGCAACGAUCCGUAGCUGGUUUGAGAGGACGACCAGCCACACGGGGACUUAGACACGGCCCAGACUCCUACGGGAGGCAGCAGUGGGGAAUUUUGGACAAUGGGUGAAACCCUGAUCCAGCCAUCCCGCGUGUAUGAGAAGGCCUUCGGGUUGUAAAGUACUUUUGGCAGAGAAGCGGUAUCUGCAGAAUAAGCACCGGCUAACUACGUGCCAGCAGCCGCGGUAAUUC
rnacentral:rRNA from 1 species